rnacentral:lncRNA from 1 species
CGCAGAAAAUUAACCAUCACCAAAACCUUAUCGCAGAAUAAUUUCAUUCACCAUGCUCCCCAUCCUUUGUCACACAUUUUACUUGUACAUAUAUUAUAAACCUAGAUUGGAUAUUAUUUUUGUUUUAAACAGUUAUUUGUUUUUUAGUGAGAUUUUAAAAAUAGCUAAUAUUUUAUUGUAUACCCACAUAUUUGCCAUUUUUGAUGCCUUUCUCUCUUUCCUAUAUAAAUGCAAGUUUCCAUCUUGUAUCAUUUCACCUUUAGUCUGAAGAAAUUUCUUAGUAUUUCUUGUAAUGUCCUCUUGAUAACAUCCUAUUUCACCCUCAUUUUUGAGGAGUAUUUUCACUGGGUAGAGAAUGAUGCAAUGACCCUUUUGUUUCUUUCAUCACUUAAAGAUGUCAGUCCACUGUCUUCUGGCUUCCCUCACUCUGGUGAGAGGUUAGCAAACAUUUCCUCUGUUGCUCUCCUCUCUAUAAUGUGCCAUUUUUCUCUGGCUGCUUUCAGGGUUUUCUCUUUAUCUUUUGUUUUCAGCAGUUUGACUACGACGUGUCUGGGUAGGAUUUUCUUUAUAUUUAUCCUGCUUGGAGUUUGCUCAGUUUCUUGGAUGGGUAGAUUAACGUUUUUCAUCAAAUUGGGGAACUAUUUGACCAUUUUUUCUUCAACUUUUUUUUGUUCCCUGUAUUACAGUUAUACAUACGUUAGAUUCCUUGAUAUUUUCCCACAAGCCACUGAGGCUCUGUUUAUCUCAAUCUUUUUGUGUUUUCUCUCUCUUCUUCAGUUUGGAUUAUUAUUUAUCUGUAUUCAAAUUCACCCCUUCUUUCUUCUGCUAUUUCCAAUCUGCUAUUAUGUCUCCUCAUUUUAUUUUUUUGAAGUUCUAGGAUUCCCAAUGGGUUCUUUUUCUUGUGCUUGACACUCUAUGUCUAUUCACUCAUUAAGACUAUAUUUUCCUUUAAGUUCUUGAACAAAUGUUUAAUAUCUGUUUGAAAGUCCUUAUUUGUUAUUUCCAACAUCUGGG